GUUAAGUAUGAUUAAAUAAACUUUUAAGUAUAAUUAAAGUUUUAAAAUUUACAUUUUCAAACGUUUUUAAAUAUUUUUAUUGUUUGCAGUUACCUUAUUCAGUUGUAAGAUUUAAUACUGAAUACGAAGAAGACGAUGAAACAUAUUCUGUGAUCCCGAGUACAUGGUUAAAAGAAAAUGAUAAAUAUUCAUAUUGGCCGAAAAAGGAUACACGGAAUUGCAUCAUAAAAUGUAAAAAACCACAGAAUGACUGGAUUAUUCACCCGGUUACUGUAAUUGCUAAAUAUAAUUCAUAUGAACAUGCUAUCCAGAAAGAGAAGAGAUUAAUGGAAGAAAAAAGCAAUACCGAAUCAGAAUCCCAAUUAGGUCGUGGACUUCGAAAGAAAAUAGUUUCAUAUCGCAUUUCGAAAGAAAAUGAUAUUUCAGAUAGCUCUAAUAGUAGCUCAAGUAAUAAAAUCAGCGAUUGUGAUUCCAUUCCCGAAUUAAAUGAAAACUUACACCAACAAGAUAAUGAUAUUAAUCAAAAUAUUGAUGAUAAUGAUACACAAAUCUUGGACAUAAAUGAAAUUCCUAUUGUUAUACAAGCAGAAGACAGCAAUAUUAUUCCUGCAAAAGAUGUUAUUCCUAUAGACAAUC